AACCAGCACCUCAAGUGGUCAGGAGGAUUAUUGGGCCUAAAGCAUCCGUAGCCGGCUCUGUAAGUUUUCGGUUAAAUCCAUGUGCUCAACACAUGGGCUGCCGAAAAUACUGCAUAGCUAGGGAGUGGGAGAGGUAGACGGUACUCAGUAGGAAGGGGUAAAAUCCUUUGAUCUAUUGAUGACCACCUGUGGCGAAGGCGGUCUACCAGAACACGUUCGACGGUGAGGGAUGAAAGCUGGGGGAGCAAACCGG
rnacentral:rRNA from 1 species